UUCAGGGACAGUGCCAAGAUAUCAAUUUUGAUAUAAUAAAAAUUGUUAAAAUAAUUUUUGAUAUUUUUUAUGAAAAUAUUAUUUUUAACAUUUAUCACCUCUUAAAUAUCCUCACACUGCGCCACACAGCAGUCCCUAGUCUUAACUCCUUGAUUCCCUCAGAGGAAUUUUUGCUACAAUACACAACAAUAGAUAAUGCCAGAGAUGCAAUCAUUACAGCAGAAAUAAG